AUUUGACGCGCAUUGUGAGCUCGGUGCUCGCCCGCUCCCCGCUCCCUGUCAUUAAUUCCAGCCUUGCGUGCUGAAGUACAGUGAAGGAUGACGGCGAAAUCAUUGCCCCUCUUCAGCUCUGUUAUUGCACAAAAUAGCAGCGCAAUAAUUUUUUGUCAAUGUUUUACUCUAAAAGCUUUCUACGUCAGUUUUGAAAAGGAAGCAAUAAAGCCCAUUCAAUGGUAUGAAUAAAAAUCCUCCGAGGCUAGGAGCAGAGCCUCUUUUCUUCAGCUGGUAAUCAAAUUGGAGCUAAAAUGAAAUUGAGUUUUCUUAUGAAAAUAGCCUUUGUUGCUGGGAAGGCUGGUAAUUCAUAAACAAUAACCUGCUCUUUUGUGUGGAUAAUAAUAUAUUCAUGUUCUUUCAAUAGGGUAAAAGCCAGACCUAGUGCAUUGUGGUACAGUAAAGACAGCAGAAGGGCUGGCUGGAGCAACAGUGGGGAGCGGCGUGUGGCACUGAGGACUGUACCCACCGAAAGGGCGCCUGGCUGCAUUUGUGUGCUUCUGCUUCUUGCCGUUCCGAAGUGGCCACGCGAUGCUGGCUUAAUUGUGGACAGUCUCAAGCUGUGCUCAGCACCUCGAAGGCGGCUGUGGCUGCAGGCAGAGCCCAGCCUGUGCCCCAGGACGCACACAUUCACAGGAGCGGCUGGCAUGCAGCAGGAGAACACAGAGGUCGGCGGCCAGGCAGGGCGACGCUGGACACAGAGCUGGGCAGGUGUCUGCCUGUGUCUGUUCUCCUCCCGUGCUGGGUGUCCAGGAGCUGUCUUCUGAUGUCACCGUGUCCUUCUCCCUCCGACAUUGCUGCUAGAACCUGGAGUGGAAGAGAAGGCGCCUGGGGAACCCACAUGACAAUGAGCCCUACCCACUGGGACAGCCGCGUGUGGCCCGUGGGCCUCGCUGUGAUGUGGAGCAGGACCCCUGCUCCCCUGGCCCACUUAUCUCAGUCUUGGCACUGCGUCUGUGCUGUCUCCGCAUGUGAGAACAAGGAACACUCAAGGAUGCACGGAGGGUAUUUCUCUCUGCCCUGAUAGCUCCUUGCUGAGAGAAAAUGGGGGAAAGCUGGGCCCAGCUACAGCCCCCACACCCUGGGCCUCUCUGCAGGGUUGGGCAGGGCGGCUUCCCAAGAAUGCGCUGCUGUGGAUACUGGGCAGGAUGGCUCUGAGGAAGCAGGCACGCGGUGGCACCUGCAGAGGCUGCUGCUCUUCACGGCCCUGAGCACAGAGCCUGUUGACUGGGAGCAGAGUGGAGUAGAUGACUCUCUUCCAGGCUGCAGACCUGAGCCUGGGGCCCCAGAGGAGUCACAGGGCCUAAGGUAAGAAUGUCCCGUGUCACCCCUCUUCCGCACAGGGCCUGCCGC
rnacentral:lncRNA from 1 species